rnacentral:rRNA from 1 species
GCGUGGCUUCCGGAGCUAACGCGUUAAGUCGACCGCCUGGGGAGUACGGCCGCAAGGUUAAAACUCAAAUGAAUUGACGGGGGCCCGCACAAGCGGUGGAGCAUGUGGUUUAAUUCGAUGCAACGCGAAGAACCUUACCUACUCUUGACAUCCAGAGAACUUUCCAGAGAUGGAUUGGUGCCUUCGGGAACUCUGAGACAGGUGCUGCAUGGCUGUCGUCAGCUCGUGUUGUGAAAUGUUGGGUUAAGUCCCGCAACGAGCGCAACCCUUAUCCUUUGUUGCCAGCGGUCAGGCCGGGAACUCAAAGGAGACUGCCAGUGAUAAACUGGAGGAAGGUGGGGAUGACGUCAAGUCAUCAUGGCCCUUACGAGUAGGGCUACACACGUGCUACAAUGGCGCAUACAAAGAGAAGCGACCUCGCGAGAGCAAGCGGACCUCAUAAAGUGCGUCGUAGUCCGGAUUGGAGUCUGCAACUCGACUCCAUGAAGUCGGAAUCGCUAGUAAUCGUAGAUCAGAAUGCUACGGUGAAUACGUUCCCGGGA